CAUUCUUUUCUUUCUCAUUCCUGAAGCGUCUCACUGUCUCUCCUCUGUUCUUCCAAGACCAAGGCGGAAAGAGAAGGAAAUUCCGCAAGAACCGCUCCUUAAUUCUCGCUUUCUGCGUUUGGAGCACAUCAGGAAGCACUCAUCCAGGAUACUCAUGGCUAAAAAUAAAAUGAAGACUAUGGAUUCUUUCUAUAAGAAGAAAAUUAGACUUGAUAAGGCAUUGGUUUCAGAUAUUGCUUGUCCUGCUUUGGAAGAAGCAGAGGGAGGGGGAGAGGGAGAGGAGGAGGAAGAAGAAAAAGAAGAAGAUGGAGGGGAGGAGGAGCAACCUGUUGAGGAGGAGGAAGAAGAAGAGGCUCCACUUAUAAUUAAUAGGGUCUAUGAUGGUAGUGGUGUUCUGGUAGUGGAAAGAGACCCAGGGCUGCGUUGCCAACUUUGGGAUCUUCCUGUCAAUGACCAAGAGAAAGCAAGAAAAGCAUAUGUGAAGUGUGGAGCAUAUCACUUUAAAAAGGAAAUAUACCUUCCUACUGGUCCAGAAAGCCACCCACGCAGGUUUCAAUAUCAUUGGUUCAAGGCAUUUCCUUGGUUAGAAUACUCACCUACAGAAAAUGCAGUCUUUUGCUUUCCAUGUUUUCUGUUUUCUAAGAAGCCACUUGGGAAAGUUGGAUCAGAUGUGUUCACUGUGAAAGGGUUCAAGAAUUGGAGAAAGGUUAACAACGGAAAGAAACAAUUUGAGAUGUCAACUACAAUAUUAUGAGCUUGAUGUACCUACAAAUCCAAGGUUUCAGAAUCUGUCAAGUGUAGGAGAUCUUUGUCAACAACUUGCAAAAACAGGAAAAUCAGUGGAUUAUUAUUUGAUUGACAGGUCAUACAAUAUUUUCGCUCUUGUAUUAUUUGCUUCGACCAUUACAUCAAGUGUUAAUUGAUUUUAUUUGCAGGUUAAUUCGACUUGUUCUCACUUUGCCUGUCUCAACCGCAACAACAGAACGUGCAUUUUCGGCAAUGAAAGUUGUUAAAACAAGACUCCGAAAUAAAAUGGAAGACAUGUUCCUAAGAGAUUGCUUGUUGAUCUACAUCGAGAAAGAGAUUGCAGUAGGAUUCUCAACUGAUGCAAUUAUUGAUGAAUUCAAUACAACGGACCGUCGCGUGGACUUCGAGUGAUAACUGUUAGUUCAUCAACAUCUAAUUGUACAUUUUGCUUCCAACCUAUUGAUGUAUAGAGAUAUGCCUAUGUUAUGAACACUUGGUUGGUUAUAUACUACAUAUUUAGUUAUCUCAAUAUGAAUUUCUAUAUAUUCUUAUAAA